rnacentral:rRNA from 1 species
CAAUAGCGUAUAUUAAAGUUGUUGCAGUUAAAAAGCUCGUAGUUGGAUUUGUGGCGUGCGGUGUGUUCCGGGCACUUGUUGUCUGAGUAACCUGCCGCUGCCAUCCUUGGGUGGAACCUGUGUGGCAUUAGGUUGUCGUGCAGGGGAUGCCCUUCAUUUACUGUGAAAAAAUUAGAGUGUUCAAAGCAGGCUUAUGCCGUUGAAUAUAUUAGCAUGGAAUAAUGAGAUAGGACUUUUUUGCUAUUUUGUUGGUUUGCGCAAAGAGGUAAUGAUUAAUAGGGACAGUUGGGGGUAUUCGUAUUCCAUUGUCAGAGGUGAAAUUCUUGGAUUUUUGGAAGACGAACUACUGCGAAAGCAUUUACCAAGGAUGUUUUCAUUAA